UUCUGCUUGCAGAGUGUGACCCCUCACCUGUCUUUAGGUCGGGAAGUGUUAUGAUUGAAUCUAUUGAUGUGGUAAACUUGCCUCCUUCCUAGGAUAUUUCUAUGCUCCCCAAAACUACCUCAUCGUUAGUUCUAGUUUGGUUCUAGCUAAGAUCAAGGUAUAAACUUGCAAAAAGAAAAGAGGAAGGCCAAACCAGUUUCCUUUUUUUCUAUUUCUUUUUCUUCACUUAAAAUCUUCUUCUUUUUCUAUUCUUCUAUGUGAAAACUCACAGAGUGGGAGAAAUAUCUUGCAAAGAACAAAAGGGAUCUACUGAGAAUGUCUGAUCAAAUAGAAAAAGGUCGGGAAUUUGAGAAGAAAGCUGACAAGAUGCUCAAUGGUUGGGGCUUCUUUGGGUCCAAGUUUAAAUAUGCUGGUGAUUUGUACGAAAAAGCGGCCAAUUCUUACAAGCUUGCCAAAUCAUGGACCAAGCUGGAUCUGUAUAUGUUAAGCUGGCUGACUGUCAUCUGAAAAUGGAUAGCAAAAUGAACCUGCUAGUGCUUAUGCUGAUACAGCUCACUCAUACAAGAAAACAAGCACCAAGGCGUGCAUAGCUAACCUAGAGCAAGCAUUAAGCAUUUUCAUGGAAAUUGGAAGACUCAGCAUGGCUGCCAGAUAUUGCAAGGAAAUUGUUGAGUUAUAUGAACAGGAGCAAAAUUGGUAGCAAGCUAUUUCUUACUAUAAUAAAGCAUCUGAUAUUUUUCAAGGUGAAGAAGUAACAACUUCUGCAAACCAAUGCAAGCAGAAAAUCGCACAAUUUUUAGCUCAAUUGGAACAAUUUCAGAAAGCUAUAGAGGUAUAUGAAGAGAUAGCAAAACAGUCUCUGAAUAAUAACUUGCUAAAAUAUGGAGUGAGAGGGCAUUUAUUAAAUGCUGGGAUUUGCCAACUCUGUAAAGGUGAUGGAAACACUAGAGGUGAAUAACGUGAUGCCUCCAUUGAUGCUUUUAAUAAGCCAGGAAGUGAAAAGUUUGUGUUUUUAUUUUCUUUGGCAUUGGGUCUACAUUUAAUGUGAAGGGAGUGAUGCAAUGUCCAAACUGUUGGAAAAUUGAGUAUGGAUGACUAGACACAUGAUGAUGAUCUGUAUGAUUUCAGCUAUUCUGAAUCAUCAAUGUGGUGCUCCUUUGGUGGAUUUACUCGGCUUGCUGCCUCUUUUGAGUAAGCACUGCAUAUUUACAAUGUCCCAAUAACAGAAAAAUGAAACUACACAAUGCUUUAAUACGGAAUAAAUGAAAAUACAAUUCGUUAGUGGAAAGCGCAAAGACUAUAUUGCAAUUAAUAUAUAGUAAUAAAAUGAAAGAAAUAUAUUGUGUUAACCCUGCAACUAUUUGUCCGCUUAUAGAAGUCCUUCAGAGCUUCCCACGGCUUUUUAACACAAAGAAUAAUAAUUUAUACUUAAGCAAUCUUAGAAUCAAUGUUUAUAUUUAAAAAAAAUUAUUUCUGCAAUUAAAAAUUACCAUUGGAGUUCCCUGUGAGUCAGAUAGCCGACUCACUGACAACUCAGAGAAACUCAAGCUUCAAAACGCCAAACUAACUGUAAGACACAAAAUCGAAAUCUCAUUAUUAUAUACUUGUUAAAAUGACAUUAUUAUUAUUAUUAUUAUUAUUAUUAUUAUUAUUAUUAUUUUUUAUAACUACAACUACAGGAAAAACCGAGGAACGUGCAAGAAGAAAAUGACACAGAAGAUAAGAGUGUGUCCCUGAGCACGGCUAACCUCCUGUCUAGGGUGGACAGUUGUACUUCUGAGGAAGGUGGAAGUGGAAAUGAUGAAGAAGAAGAAAUUCUUGAUAUUUGGAGAUUUUCAGCAGAAAGAUUUGGUGAUCGGGUUGCAUUGGUGGGUACACAUCAUGGCCCACCUACAAAUAUGACAUACAACUAGGUAGAGGAGGAUAUUUUGAAUUUCUCUAAAGGUUUAAGAGUUAUUGGAAUCAAACCAUGUGAAAAAGUUGCACUCUUCGCUGACAAUUCAUGUAGAUGUCUUGUUGCUGAUCAAGGUAUACGAUACUGACAAUGCCAAUCAGAAGGAGAAGUUUGAGGCCGACUUGAAGAAGGAGAUUAAGAAACUUCAGAGGUUAGUGCCCCUUAUGAGCACCAAGCUUAUUGAGCGAGAAAUGGAACCAGACAAAAGCUUUCUCCAAAGAAGGCCUAGGACAACAGCCCUAAACGGAUCCAAAGGAGAAAGCCAAGUCAGAGACUAGAGAUUGGUUGAACAAUACGGCAUAACAGCACACUAUACUACUAUCUUUAUAGCAUUAUAUUAGUACUUUAAAGGCUCCCCUUUGUUUUAUUAUUUACAUAUGUGGAUCCUCAUUUAGACAUUAUAUAUGACCAUGCUUAUUAUUGGUUAGGUGUCUGAGCUGGAAUCUCAAAUCCAUAGCUUUGAAGCUGAGAUGGAGGGGCCACCUAUUUAGAAAGGAAAUGCAAGACCUGUCCAAGACUGAAGUCUUUUUGCCAAAAGCAUUCUCAUCAACCAAAGGUUCAUAUUGAAUUAGUAUAACAUAAUUCAAGCAAAACAUAUUUAGUCAUGGGUUUCUUUUAUUGUUGUAAAUGUUUUGUUUUCUAUAAUAGAUAUUAUUCAAUAUUAGCAACAUUUACUUACUAUUGGAAUAAUUAUUUGUAUUUGACAUA